GCCUGGGUGGCUCAGUCGGUUAAGCAUCCGACUUCAGCUCAGGUCACGAUCUCGCGGUCCGUGAGUUCGAGCCCCGCCUCGGGCU
rnacentral:tRNA from 1 species